AAGCGAGACGGCGACGUUAAGCAAAUCACAAAAACCCAGUCCCAGUUCGGAUUGCAGUCUGCAACUCGACUGCAUGAAGCUGGAAUCGCUAGUAAUCGCGAAUCAGAAUGUCGCGGUGAAUACGUUCCCGGGCCUUGUACACACCGCCCGUCACACCAUGGGAGUCGGUAACACCCGAAGCCUGUAGUCUAACCGCAAGGAGGACGCAGUCGAAGGUGGGAUUGAUGACUGGGGUGAAGUCGUAACAAGGUAAC
rnacentral:rRNA from 1 species